rnacentral:lncRNA from 1 species
UGUUGUUUUGUUUGUUUGUUUUUGCUUGCCUCUUGAAUGGGAUGCAAUUCAAAACAAGAUAGAGGCCCGCAUCGCCAAGUCAAUCCUAAGCCAAAAGAACAAAGCUGGAGGCAUCACACUACCUGACUUCAAAUUAUACUACAAGGCUACAGUAACCAAAACAGCAUGGUACUGGUACCAAAACAGAGAUAUAGAUCAAUGGAACAGAACAGAGCCCUC